GUGGGGAAUAUUGGACAAUGGGCGCAAGCCUGAUCCAGCCAUACCGCGUGGGUGAAGAAGGCCUUCGGGUUGUAAAGCCCUUUUGUUGGGAAAGAAAUCCUGUCGAUUAAUACUCGGUGGGGAUGACGGUACCCAAAGAAUAAGCACCGGCUAACUUCGUGCCAGCAGCCGCGGUAAUACGAAGGGUGCAAGCGUUACUCGGAAUUACUGGGCGUAAAGCGUGCGUAGGUGGUGGUUUAAGUCUGCUGUGAAAGCCCUGGGCUCAACCUGGGAAUUGCAGUGGAUACUGGAUCACUAGAGUGUGGUAGAGGGAUGCGGAAUUUCUGGUGUAGCAGUGAAAUGCGUAGAGAUCAGAAGGAACAUCCGUGGCGAAGGCGGCAUCCUGGGCCAACACUGACACUGAGGCACGAAAGCGUGGGGAGCAAACAGGAUUAGAUACCCGAGUAGUCC
rnacentral:rRNA from 1 species